ACGAAUGGCUAUGCACUGCACAACCCUAGGAGAGGGUGCCAUUCACAUAGACUAUAAUUGAAUGGCGCCACUAGGGUUGUGCAGUGCACAACCUACAC
ensembl:miRNA